AUUGAACGCUGGCGGCAGGCCUAACACAUGCAAGUCGAGCGAGCGGCGGACGGGUGAGUAAUGCCUGGGAAACUGCCUGAUGGAGGGGGAUAACUACUGGAAACGGUAGCUAAUACCGCAUACCAUCAGAUGUGCCCAGAUGGGAUUAGCUAGUGGGUGGGGUAACGGCUCACCUAGUCGCCGAUCCCUAGCUGGUCUGAGAGGAUGACGAGCCACAUGGGAACGGAGACACGGUCCAGAUUCCUACGGGGGGAGGCAGUGGGGAAUAUUGCACAAUGGGCGAAAGCCUGACGCAGACAUGCGGCGUGUGUGAAGAAGGCCUUCGGGUUGUAAAGCAUUUUCAGCGGGGAGGCGUUACCCGCAGAAGAAGCACCGGCUAACUCCGUGCCAGCAGCCGCGGUAAUUC
rnacentral:rRNA from 1 species